rnacentral:rRNA from 1 species
UACGGAGGGAGCUAGCGUUGUUCGGAAUUACUGGGCGUAAAGCGCGCGUAGGCGGCUUUGUAAGUUAGAGGUGAAAGCCCGGGGCUCAACCCCGGAACAGCCUUUAAGACUGCAUCGCUAGAAUCCGGGAGAGGUGAGUGGAAUUCCGAGUGUAGAGGUGAAAUUCGUAGAUAUUCGGAAGAACACCAGUGGCGAAGGCGGCUCACUGGACCGGUAUUGACGCUGAGGCGCGAAAGCGUGGGGAGCAAACAGG